UGCAGCUGGGACAUUUUUGAUACUGUGAUCUUAGAUACAUUCAUCUGUCAGACUCCAGCUGAUUCCAAACUCCUUGUUCAUUCUAUUAGGUUGUGCUAUAAGAAAAAAUUCUGUAAGCUUUAAAAGUGGUAAGUCAACUCAAGGCACAGCCAAUAAGCAUUUAUAUGACUGUACAUUAUUUACCUAACUCUGCAGAGGGAGCCAGAUAUCCUUUAGUGUAGUAACGAAGAAUGGCUCCUGCAUAUCCCCAGCAAUUCUCAGGAAAAGGUGGGUGUUAUAUUCUCUUAAAUAGAGAGGCGUUUUUUUCUUAGUCCUAUUACUGGCAGCUUCUAAAUUUAAUAACAAAAUGCUCACCUACAAAUAAGAAGAAUAAAAGCUUAACUUGCCAGGGGGAAAAAAAGUUCUAUGAUGUAACAGACCCAGGAAUAAGUGAUAUUCAUGGGAAGGUCACUGCCUGAGGCUGCUUGAUAAACUCCAGCCCUUUCCUAUAUCCACUGUUUAAUGUUUAAGCUUUGGAUGCUAAGAGUGGUUAUAAUAAACUGUCCAACAGUUUCUCACUUAGACUUCCCAAGAAGGUGACAAAAUAAAAUCAAUGUAAAGCUGUCAAAAGAGAGGCUCAUCACUGAAGUAUAUUUUGCUCAAUCACCCAUUUGAAACCAAGUAUUUCCUUUAAUCAGCUCUUUUGAGAAUUUAGCCAAUGGAACACCAAGAGCCUCCAACGAUCGUUUCCCAUCUACAUUCUUUUUAAGAAAAAUGCAGGCAAAUUCCUGAAUCGACCUUGUUCUGAUAAGUCUCCUUGAGGUAAGGUCGUCAUGAUUCUCACCCACAUUUUUCCACUGUCUUGUCAGAUGAAUCCGUGAAAUUCACAGAUUAACUCAAGUCCCUCACUCAGACAUUCUAAAUGCACCAAAUGUUCAAGUGUAACAAAAAAUUACACAUCUGGUAAUUCUGCGUGUUAUUUAUAGCCUUUCUGAUAGAGGCAUAAUUGAUUCAGAAAUGUAAUUUACAGCUUGGCAUCUCCGUUUCAAAGCCUCAAUUCUAUGACAUCCACCAAGAGAGUAAUCUCACUUUUGUGAGGAAGCAAACAUAAUAAUUGUAAAGAAUUUUUGUAUGAUAGUCUCACGCUUUUGCAUAAAGUUUUUCUCGCUCCUUGUUUUUCAUUUGCAAAGUGGGCAAUAUUCAUGUCAGCCACACACUUUUAAUUCUACAGAAUGGUUUAUGAAGGCAUAAAUGGAGCAUAAAGUUGAUCAACAAACCCUAGGAUGAUGGCAAAUGGCUAAGGCAAGUUUCUCUUGCCCUCUAGUUUUAAUUGCAACCCUCAUAAGAAAACACUCUCUAAUUUAACUAGGUAAUUGUUUUCUUCAAAGAGAACAUUUGUUAUUUAGUGCCAUUUUGAAAACUACUAAAGAAUAUUGGAAUUUUUUUUUUAUCCAAGAAGAGUCAUAAAACCACUUUUUCUCCACUUUUUCUUCUUCAGUCUCUGUCUUCCACACCCUUCUUAAGUAUAAAAUUGAUGCCUUAAUUAUUGCCCCAGUCUCUUGUCUUGGGCACAUUUUGAGGAGGAUAAGCUUAUGUGAGGGUAUAAUUUCCUCUAGCUAGUGGGGGCCCA
rnacentral:lncRNA from 1 species